rnacentral:rRNA from 1 species
CCUACGGCGGCUGCAGUGGGGAAUAUUGGACAAUGGGCGAAAGCCUGAUCCAGCCAUGCCGCGUGUGUGAAGAAGGCCUUCGGGUUGUAAAGCACUUUCAGUGGGGAAGAAAGCCUUGGGGCUAAUACCCUCGAGGAAGGACAUCACCCACAGAAGAAGCACCGGCUAACUCCGUGCCAGCAGCCGCGGUAAUACGGAGGGUGCGAGCGUUAAUCGGAAUUACUGGGCGUAAAGCGCGCGUAGGCGGUCUGAUAAGCCGGUUGUGAAAGCCCCGGGCUCAACCUGGGAACGGCAUCCGGAACUGUCAGGCUAGAGUGCAGGAGAGGAAGGUAGAAUUCCCGGUGUAGCGGUGAAAUGCGUAGAGAUCGGGAGGAAUACCAGUGGCGAAGGCGGCCUUCUGGACUGACACUGACGCUGAGGUGCGAAAGCGUGGGUAGCAAACAGGAUUAGAUACCCUAGUAGUC